rnacentral:rRNA from 1 species
GAUGCAGCACGCCACGUGGUGGGAGAAGCAUUUCGGUGUGUAAACCACUGUCUUGAGGGAAUAAGGCUAAUUUUCGGAUUAGUUGAAUGUACCUCGAGAGGAAGCACCGGCAAACUUCGUG